UGGGUUGUAGCUCAGUGGUGGAGUGCUCACCUUGCAUGUGUGGGGCACUGGGUUCGAUCCUCAGCACCACAU
rfam:Ictidomys tridecemlineatus contig041984, whole genome shotgun sequence.